UACGAGGGGGGCGAGCGUUGCUCGGAAUUAUUGGGCGUAAAGGGUGCGUAGGCGGUUUGGUAAGUCUCUUGUGAAAUCUAUGGGCUCAACUCAUAGUCUGCAAGGGAAACUGCCGGGCUUGAGUGUGGGAGAGGUGAGUGGAAUUUCCGGUGUAGCGGUGAAAUGCGUAGAUAUCGGAAGGAACACCUGUGGCGAAAGCGGCUCACUGGACCACAACUGACGCUGAUGCACGAAAGCUAGGGGAGCAAACAGG
rnacentral:rRNA from 1 species